rnacentral:rRNA from 1 species
GGUUGUCGUCAGCUCGUGUCGUGAGAUGUUGGGUUAAGUCCCGCAACGAGCGCAACCCUUGAACUUAGUUGCCAUCAUUCAGUUGGGCACUCUAAGUUGACUGCCGGUGACAAACCGGAGGAAGGUGGGGAUGACGUCAAAUCAUCAUGCCCCUUAUGAUUUGGGCUACACACGUGCUACAAUGGACAAUACAAAGGGCAGCGAAACCGCGAGGUCAAGCAAAUCCCAUAAAGUUGUUCUCAGUUCGGAUUGUAGUCUGCAACUCGACUACAUGAAGCUGGAAUCGCUAGUAAUCGUAGAUCAGCAUGCUACGGUGAAUACGUUCCCGGGUCUUGUACACACCGCCCGUCACACCACGAGAGUUUGUAACACCCGAAGCCGGUGGAGUAACCAUUUUGGAGCUAGCCGUCGAAGGUGGGACAAAUGAUUGGGGUGAAGUCGUAACAAGGUAGCCGUAUCGGAAGGUGCGGCUGGAUCACCUCCUUU